GGAGCCUAGGACAAACCUCUAUUAAGAGAUCAUGCAGAAGGGGAGAAGCCAGCAAAGGCUGAGAAAUAGUGAAUAGGAAGAGAGAAAAAAAGAGAAUAUGCCAUCCUAAAGGCCAAGUCAAGAAAUUGUGUCAAGGAUUCAUUGUCAUGUUGCUGGAAGAUCAAGUAAGGAAAGGGCAAUUGGAUUUAGUACUUUCACCAGUGGAAAUUCUUGCGAACCGGGAAAAUCACGCUUUUCUCAUUGUACCAGCAAGAGUGUCCUAAAAGAGCUUCAGCACCAACACACCAACCUAGCACCCGGAGAAAGCUUGUAGAGAGCGGCACAAUGACUGACUUCAUCCUGUAAUUAUAAUGGCUUCCUUAGUGGGCCCAUUUCUUCUUUGGACACUGCCAUCUUAGUCUGACUCGUUCGCCUUUUCCAUCACCUUGGGAAGAAAGCUCAGACAUUUUAGGCAGUUCUGAAGACCUGGGGCAGCACUAGUCCUGUCAUAAAGAGAAAUUAAUGUUGUUAAAGUUGGCCUAGCUGCCCUCUGGGACAGCUGAAGAUGUGGAAAUACAAGGCUCUGUUUUUAAAAUGAAAAUGAUUAAAGGCACAGACACCUUGCUCUUGGAGCAGCCACUAAAACUUUUAAUAAAA